CGGACAUACACACAUGCAGAUACAUAUACACACAAACACAGUCACACACAGACACACAUGCAGACAUCGUGGCGACUCUAGGAACAAUAUAUAUGGGGGGGCACAUAAGAUACCACAGUCAAAACAGGAGGGGGAGAGGGAGCAGUAAAACUUCUCACUAGGGGAUGGGGUAAUAUGCUGCCAUUGGCUGUCUGAUGCCAGCAUGCUGUGUUCUGCAUGGUGGCAUCUGAC